rnacentral:rRNA from 1 species
UCGCCUGUUUAUCAAAAACAUAGUUUUAUGUUAAAUAUAUAAAAUAUAUUCUGCCCAAUGUAUUUAUUAUAAAUGGCCGCAGUACCUUGACUGUGCUAAGGUAGCAUAAUCAAUUGGCUUUUAAUUAAGGUCUAGAAUGAAAGGGAUUAUGAGGUUUAACUGUCUUAUUUAUUUUACUUAGAACUUAUUUAAAAGGUGAAAAUACCUUUUUAAAAAAUAAAGACGAGAAGACCCUAUGAAUUUUUAAAUUUUUUUUUGUUGGGGCGACAAUUUAAAAUAAUAAUCUUAAAUUUAUUUGAUAAAACGAAUUUUUUAAUAAAAAUUAAAUUACCUUAGGGAUAACAGCAUUAUUAUUUAAAUAGUUUGUGACCUCGAUGUUGGACUAGGAACUUUAAAGGCUAACCGUCUAAAAAGAUUUGUUCUGUUCGAACAAUUAAAUCCUACGUGAUCUGAGUUCAGACCGGA